UUACCUAGGGACGCAGCAGUGAGGAAUAUUGGUCAAUGGGCGAGAGCCUGAACCAGCCAAGUCGCGUGAGGGAGUACUGCCCUAUGGGUUGUAAACCUCUUUUGUCGGGGAGCAAAAGCCGGACGUGUCCGGCUGUGAGAGUACCCGAAGAAAAAGCAUCGACUAACUCCGUGCCAGCAGCCGCGGUAAUACGGAGGAUGCGAGCGUUAUCCGGAUUUAUUGGGUUUAGAGGGUGCGCAGGCGGAUUUUUAAGUCAGCGGUCAAAUCGUGGGGCUCAACCCCAUCCAGCCGUUGAAACUGGGGAG
rnacentral:rRNA from 1 species